UACGUAGGGGGCUAGCGUUGUCCGGAAUCAUUGGGCGUAAAGAGCGCGUAGGCGGCCAGAUAAGUCCGGUGUGAAAGUCAAAGGCUCAACCUUUGAAUGCCGCUGGAAACUGUCUGGCUAGAGUCCGGAAGGGGCGAGUGGAAUUCCUGGUGUAGCGGUGAAAUGCGCAGAUAUCAGGAGGAACACCAAUGGCGAAGGCAGCUCGCUGGGACGGUACUGACGCUGAGGCGCGAAAGCGUGGGGAGCGAACAGG
rnacentral:rRNA from 1 species